UAACUAAAAUAAUAAAACCUAUUUUCGACCUUAUAGCUAAAUAAAGAAUUUUUUUUUUCUAAUUUAAAACUGAUUUUUUGGCUGCGAAUCGCAAUCUUGUUUUAUCCAUCCAAAGGAAAUCUAAUUCGUCUUCCUUAGUAACAGGUAAAAAUGGCACUGGAAAGACAGGCCGAAGAGCUUCCUCCCUGAGUACUGUCAGUUUCGGAAUCCCAAUUCCCAAACAAAUUAAAUUUCCUCACUUCUUUUCUCGACUGCCUCCCGUCGCUGGAGCUCGACGUCACUCCCAGCGCCGGUGUCGACCACUUGAACUUGGCCUAAUUACGGGGCCGUGGGAUAGCCAUUGCCCAUGCAGGAAACUUGUUCUCUGAAGAUGUCGCCGAUAUGGCGGUUGGAUUACUAAUCCAUGUCCUUAGAAAAGUGUCGGCGGGAGACCGGUUCGUAAGGCAAGGACUCUGGCCUACCAAAGGUGAUUUUCCUCUCAGAUUAAAGUUGAGCGGCAAGCAAAUAGGGAUUAGUUGGAUUGGGAGGUGAUGCUAGCAUUAGGAAAAAUUGGAGUGAUAAUCAACAUUGGUCAGGGCGAUCAUUGACGAGAAUUGACGAGAAGGAGAUAGGGUGCUGGGUGUCACAAUCGCACUUCGAGCAUGAUGGUGACACUGAGCUGGAUGUGUUUGAGAAUGAGCCCGAAAUUCCAGAACAGCUCUUUAAACUAGAUAAUGGUGCUAUCAUAACACAUGAAUCUUUUGUGGGAAUGUCUAAGUUGGUGGUGGAAAACAUGGAGGCACUCUUCUCAAACAAACCUCUGGUGUCUCCCUUCAUGGAUUAGUUAAGGAAGGCUGAAGAAAGGAUGUCUAUUGAGAAAAAGAGACUCCAAAAACUUGACAACAGAGCCACCUUAAUGUAUUGGAUUAGAGUAUUCAACCUUUCUCUUCUUUUUAGAGGACUAAUAUUUAUGGAUAUACCCAAUUGUUUGUUUCUGUAACCACCGACUCUUAACACUCUUCAAGAUUAUCCGUCUUCUU